rnacentral:lncRNA from 10 species
AAAUUAUUUUUAAAAUUUUUAAAAAUUUUAAAAAUUGUUAAAACAAUUUCUUAUGACAGAACAGCCAUUACAGUGAUUAUUUUCAAGUGGAAUAAUUGUAGCAAAAUGUACUGUGUUUUUUAUUAGAUGUAGUUUAUAAUAACAUACACAAGUUUUUGCUCUAUCCUUUGUUAUCUGUUUUGUUAUUACAUUGAUUUAUAUAAUUUUACUACAUUUUCUAUACUCAUAUAACUAGGUAGAUGAAAAUCAACUCAAAGCCACAAGCUGGGGAAAUUCUGUACAAAGCAGUCAUUUAAAUGUGUUGGUAUUAAGACUGAUGAUUGUACAUAUUGUUAUUGUUUUUAAUGUCACCCUUACAGAAUCUUAAGGGACAAGAUAAAUUUUUUAAAGUGCUUAGAGUUAGAGUUGGGGCUAUCUGUAUAUGUUCGCUUUUGUCUUAUCAGAGAGUUAGUUGUGUGUUCUAAGGGUAGUCUGGCUUACAAGUAGAGUUUGGGUACUGAGAAGCAAUAGAAGUAGCCAACUGUUUACCGGUUGCCUCAAGUAGUGUUGAAAUGAUUAGUAUAUUACUAGUUGAAAGUAUCUUUAUUAAUAAAGAACUAAUCAAAACCUCUUCCAACAAUCAUGGCAUAAGUUUGGUCAUAUUUCUUUGUCUACACUCUCCCUGCUUAGUAACGUUAGACAAAGGAUUGAGUUUUGGCUCAUUGAAUUUAACUGGUUAAUCUCUAUUGUACUGACUUAAAAUAGUUUAUGCUGCUUGAAUAAUUGCUCCACGUAUUUGAAAUUAUAUUAACUAUAAAGAAAAUAAGACUUCAAGAAUAUGGUAAUCACUUUUUUCAAGCCUAAGUAUAUGUAUCUCAGGAAGAUUUUUGUACCUACAAAAAUAUAAAAAUCAUUCUCAUUUUUUACCAGGAUAAUCCUGGAAGUUGUCAUUAGAGAAAAUUAUUGUCUACAGUAUAUAUUUAUCACACAGAUGUUCAUUUAAAACGGUAAUGAAGAGCUGUCCUAAAAAGUGUUACUCUGCUAUGAAAAUCAUGGAUAGUAAAGCUCUCUGGAGACACUCUGCAAUUUAUUAUUUACCUUCUGCAAUGAAGAAUUUAUUUUCAUGUAGAUCAGCAUUUAUUUUUGUGGAAGGAGAAAUACAUAGAUGCAUGAAGAUAAUAUAAAUUUAACCAAGAAGAAAGUUUUAUAAUCAGGGUUAGCAGGAGUAGAAAACCAGCUGGGAUGUUGAAGCCAUCCAGUUUUGAAGCCUAGCUGCAGAAGCAAUAAGGAAUGUCUGCUACUCAAAAGCAACAAUUUGAUUGCCAUUUUAGUCCAAUCACAUUAAGAUUAGAGUCAAGAGUAUACUCUAUUCUCUUAUCUUUGCAUUUUCCCUGGGUCAAAUGGACAACACAGAUUCACGGCAAUAACCUCCUGGCCGAUUUUGGCCUAGAGACUUUCCAGUUCAUUACCUUCCUUAGUAUUUUCACCCUGGGAAA